UGGGGAAUAUUGGACAAUGGGCGAAAGCCUGAUCCAGCCAUGCCGCGUGUGUGAAGAAGGCCUUCGGAUUGUAAAGCACUUUAAGUUGGGAGGAAGGGCAGUAAGCGAAUACCUUGCUGUUUUGACGUUACCGACAGAAUAAGCACCGGCUAACUCUGUGCCAGCAGCCGCGGUAAUACAGAGGGUGCAAGCGUUAAUCGGAAUUACUGGGCGUAAAGCGCGCGUAGGUGGUUCGUUAAGUUGAAUGUGAAAGCCCCGGGCUCAACCUGGGAACUGCAUACAGAACUGGCGAGCUAGAGUAGGGCAGAGGGUGGUGGAAUUUCCUGUGUAGCGGUGAAAUGCGUGGAUAUAGGAAGGAACACCAGUGGCGAAGGCGACCACCUGAGCUCAUACUGACACUGAGGUGCGAAAGCGUGGGGAGCAAACAGG
rnacentral:rRNA from 1 species